UCGGGGUCUUUUAUAGCUGACUAUGCGGUAUGGGCUUUGCUCAUUGUUGAAGGCCGUAUGGUGACCUAUAGUUGUUAAUUUCUGUGUAAUUUUGGUCUCUUGUGGAGAGUUGUCUCAUUGGCAAUCAUACCACAUCUUUUUUUUUAUAAUUACUAGCUGUUUAGAUAUUGACCUGAUUUCAUGAGUGAUAUUUAAGUAUGACAUAAUUUUGUUACCUUUCAUGUAAGACUUGUACAAUUUUUUAGUUUCAUCAUUUUCAGGGUUUGGAUAUAUAUUGACUUUAGCUACUGCAGAAACACCACAUAGUCAACUAUUGGAGCUGUAAAAUAAGAAUUAAUACAGAUGAAAUUAGUGAGUUAAUUUUUGGCACCAACAGGAAAAUAUUUGAUAGCAAAACAAAUUGCUGAAGAAAACCAACAAUAAAAAAUAAAAAGUGUUUACAGACAACAUACAUUUUGUCACCAUGGUCACUAGAAAAAAAUAAUCCUUUCAAGGUUUCACACUAUUUUGUAAAAAGGCUUAUUAAAAAUCAAACUCGCAUGAUGAAAAAAGAAGACACGACAAGAUGACACCUAAUCUAUAAAACAACUGAUAGCGUACUUUUCAAGAAUGUUCCAAAUUACAAAAUAAUCUGCUUAUGUUUUAAUCUUGAACUACAUUUCCUUUCUUUUAUUUUCAUUUAUUUAUUUUUCUUUUUUCUUUUUAUUUUACUGAAUAUUCCAUCAAGAAACAUACUAGGAUUGGCAGAUUGGCAGACUUGUGGUAGUUCAAGAUCUGGAUCUUCUGUCAGUAUGGGUUCACUGUCUUUGCCAUCGUCAAUGAUGGGUGUUGCAAUAGGUAGCAUUUCUGUAAAUCAAAAUAACGGACCAUCAUAUACUGAUUUAGAAGUUGAAAUGUGUACAGCAGCAAGAAACUUACCAUGAUUCCUAACUGUGUUGAUAUUUGCCUCUUCAUUGUUGACUACUGCAGAUGCAACGGGAUGAAUAAUUUCUAACUUCAUCCCAACAUUCCAACAAGUAACUUUGUUCUUCUGCCAAUGUUGUAGACCUGAGAUUAUGUAAUGGUGGACUAUUGCUGUCAAGUUCCUGAUCUACAGUAUCGUGGAAGAUCACAGAGCUGGCUGAUAGAGACCACCACACGCCUUUGCCACAUAGGAGGAAAUAUGGUAUUCUCUGAAGAUGGCAUUGAAACUGAUAAGGGUUUUUAAUGAUGUCAGUAAUUGUUAUUGUGGUAUUGUUUUUCUUGUCAAGAAACUUUGCUUGCUGGCUGAUGACAGACUCUUGUUUCUGUAUAGACUCAAUUACACUAUGGCUUUCUUGUUGAGCAUUAAACCACAAAACAGCAUUGUCAACUACAUAUUCUGGUUGGCGAUUGCUUGUAUUUUUUGAAAUUGAUCUAAUAUCAACAAAUGUUCUCUCUUCUUCUUCAGGAACAACAGAUCUAAGGCAAAGCAAUCUGUAUGUUUCAGGUGCAUGUAUGACCAA